AUUGAACGCUGGCGGCAUGCCUUGCACAUGCAAGUCGAACGGAAACAGGUCUUCGGAUGCUGACGAGUGGCGAACGGGUGAGUAAUACAUCGGAACGUGCCUAGUAGUGGGGGAUAACUACUCGAAAGGGUGGCUAAUACCGCAUGCGAUCUACGGAUGAAAGCAGGGGAUCGCAAGACCUUGUGCUACUAGAGCGGCCGAUGGCAGAUUAGGUAGUUGGCGGGAUAAAAGCUUACCAAGCCGACGCUCUGUAGCGGGUCUGAGAGGACGAUCAGCCACACUGGACAGGGGACACGGCCCAGACUCCUACGGGAGGAGGCAGUGGGGAAUUUUGGACAAUGGGCGCAGGCCUGAUCCAGCAAUGCCGCGUGCAGGAUGAAGGCCUUCGGGUUGUAAACUGCUUUUGUACGGAACGAAAAGCCCUGGGUUAAUACCCUGGGGUCAUGACGGUACCGUAAGAAUAAGCACCGGCUAACUACGUGCCAGCCGCCGCGGUAA
rnacentral:rRNA from 1 species